CGACCGGCGCACGGGUGAGUAACGCGUAUGUAAUCUACCUGUAACAGAGGGAUAACCCGGAGAAAUCCGGACUAAUACCUCAUAGCACAUAUUAUUCGCAUGAAUUUUACUGUUAAAGAGACUCGGUUACAGAUGAACAUGCGUUCCAUUAGCUAGUUGGCGGGGUUACGGCCCACCAAGGCAACGAUGGAUAGGGGUUCUGAGAGGAAGGUCCCCCACAUUGGAACUGAGACACGGUCCAA
rnacentral:rRNA from 1 species